rnacentral:rRNA from 1 species
UGGGGAAUAUUGCACAAUGGACGGAAGUCUGAUGCAGCAACGCCGCGUGCGGGAUGACGGCCUUCGGGUUGUAAACCGCUUUUUCUCAUGACGAAGUUUUUUGACGGUAGUGGGGGAAGAAGCACCGGCUAACUACGUGCCAGCAGCCGCGGUGAUACGUAGGGUGCGAGCGUUGUCCGGAAUUAUUGGGCGUAAAGAGCUUGUAGGCGGUUUGUCGCGUCGAUAGUGCAAACUCAGUGCUUAACGCUGAGCCUGCUGUUGAUACGGGCAGACUAGAGGAAGGUAGGGGAGAAUGGAAUUCCCGGUGGAGCGGUGGAAUGCGCAGAUGUCGGGAGGAACACCGGUGGCGAAGGCGGUUCUCUGGGCCUUUCCUGACGCUGAGAAGCGAAAGCGUGGGGAGCGAACAGG